rnacentral:lncRNA from 1 species
UUUUGCUUUUCAUCACCUGCAAGAUUUACAUAAAAAUCACAUAAGCUGGAAUUCAACAAAAGACCUCCGACUAUGUGAAGAUACAGUGGGAAGAUGACUGUCUGCAAGGCAGGAAGAGAGCCCUCACUGAGGAACCAAAUUGGCCAGUAUCUUGAUCUUGGAUUUCUCAGCCUCGAGAACCAUGAGAAAUGAAUGUCUAUUGUUCAAGCCACCCAGUUUAUGAAAAGGUUUGGAAACCUUCAUCUAGAAAGUGGUCUAGCAAAGUGUGGUCCAUGGAUGAGUUUGAUCUGCAAAGUGCUUGUUAUUGGUUCAUGACAAGGUCCACCAAUUGCAUUUUGAGAGCUCAGAUAAGCAGAGAGCAAUGCAAUUUGUCACGGAAGGAUGAUUAUGUAUAUGCACUGUCAUGUCUAUUUCCAUGCCUAACUCAAAGGAGACACAGGGAGAAAGUGAGCUUAGCCUGGGUAAAUUGGAGGUUGUGAUGACUUCUAGGAAGCCUCAGGAAAGAGAAACAAAGACAACGCUGGCCUGCUGCUCUCUGCAAUGGUGGGACCCUUGUGGGAUAACUGUUUUAGGAAUGAAGGUGUCUACCCUCUCUAGAAAUGAAAACGCAAGUUUGGCUGUGGUUAAGUAUUGGAUGGACGCAAAAAGAAACUGACAUAUUUGCUUCUUUUCAAUUGUUUGAUUCACCCUGAAGGGCAUGGCUGCCUAAUUUUUUUCUCCAGAGAUAGGUGGACAGAUAAAGACAGGAAAGUAACAUCCGCAGACUGCCCUCUGUGAAGGUGACAGUGAUGAAGGGAACGCUUGAUCUGAACACUGGUAAAUAAAGUGACCGCAUAUUUCCCUAGCCAGGAGAGCAAUCUGGCUCAAAAGAAACGAGAACAAUGACAUUACUGCCAGGCUGCUCCUAAGCCUUUGGCUAUUCUGUUCAGUGCACAUAAAAAGCAGUGAACAUAGCUGUGACCUGCCUUGUUGGCAGUAUCACAAUUCUUUGGGGCUCCACUUUGAGAAAUUGAGACCUACCUACCUUAACCCUGGGGGCGGGUUAAGCUUUCAGACUGGAAUCAUAACUGAACUAUUCAUUUGCAGUAAUUCUGGGUUUUGUGCAUAUUUUAAAAAGGAAUACCGGGCUUGCCUAUAUUCAUUACAACGUCCUCCCAGCUUUCAAAUCUUCCAAUACAAUGCCUCUUCUCUAGUCUUUUAAGCACAUCCUGUGACUGGAUAUGAUUAUGGGAGAUUUACAUGCAUCCUUGUCUAUUGUAUCAAAAGAUCAGCGAAUAAAAUGCCCAUCAUUAAAACCCCAAAGUGAUUGGAUUGGCAUGAGGAAUGGG